rnacentral:miRNA from 14 species
ACAUUUAGAAAUAAUAUCUCCUGGGGUUGGAAUUUAACUCAGUGGUAGAGCAGUUAUCUAGCAAGCACAAGGCCCUGGGUUCGGUCCUCAGCUCCGAAAAAAAAAA